rnacentral:rRNA from 1 species
UCUGGUUGAUCCUGCCUGAACUGAUGUGUUCAUUUCAAAGAUUAAGCCAUGCAUGUAUAAGUUUAAUCGUUUUAACGAGAAACCGCGAACGGCUCAUUACAAUGGCCAUGAUUUACUUGAUCUUGAUUAUCUAAAUGGAUAACUGUGGAAAAGCUAGAGCUAAUACAUGCACCAAAGCUUUGUCCUCUUGGAAAAGCGCAUUUAUUAGAACAAAACCACGCGGCUUCGGCUGCUUCUUGUUGACUCAGAAUAACUAAGCUGACCGCAUGGCCUUGUGCCGGCGGCGUGGCUUUCAAGCGUCCACUUUAUCAACUUGACGGGAGCAUAAUCGACUCCCGUGGUGGUGACGGAUAACGGAGGAUCAGGGUUCGACUCCGGAGAAGGGGCCUGAGAAAUGGCCACUACGUCUAAGGAUGGCAGCAGGCGCGCAAAUUACCCACUCUCGGCUCGAGGAGGUAGUGACGAGAAAUAACGAGAUCGUUCUCUUUGAGGCCGGUCAUCGGAAUGGGUACAAUUUAAACCCUUUAACGAGUAUCAAGCAGAGGGCAAGUCUGGUGCCAGCAGCCGCGGUAAUUCCAGCUCUGCUAAUACAUAGAAUUAUUGCUGCGGUUAAAAAGCUCGUAGUUGGAUUCGUAUCGGUACCCUGGAACCCUCCGGGUGUUUCUGGGUGUUAUCGAUUUAUAGUAAUGUUCGGUUCUGAGUCCUUAACAGGAUUCUUAACAGGCAUUGUAAGUUUACUUUGAACAAAUCAGAGUGCUUCAAACAGGCGUUUUCGCUUGAAUGAUCGUGCAUGGAAUAAUAGAAAACGAUUUCGGUUCAGUUUUUAUUGGUUUUACGGACUGAGAUAAUGGUUAACAGAGACAAACGGGGGCAUUUGUAUGGCCCCGUGAGAGGUGAAAUUCUUGGACCGUGGCCAGACAAACUACAGCGAAAGCAUUUGCCAAGAAUGUCUUCAUUAAUCAAGAACGAAAGUCAGAGGUUCGAAGGCGAUCAGAUACCGCCCUAGUUCUGACCGUAAACGAUGCCAACUAGCGAUCCGCCGAUGGAAAUUAUAUUGCCUUGGUGGGGAGCUUCCCGGAAACGAAAGUCUUCCGGUUCCGGGGGAAGUAUGGUUGCAAAGCUGAAACUUAAAGGAAUUGACGGAAGGGCACCACCAGGAGUGGAGCCUGCGGCUUAAUUUGACUCAACACGGGGAAACUCACCCGGCCCGGACACUGUGAGGAUUGACAGAUUGAUAGCUUUUUCAUGAUUCAGUGGAUGGUGGUGCAUGACCGUUCUUAGUUCGUGGAGUGAUUUGUCUGGUUUAUUCCGAUAACGAGCGAGACUCUAACCUACUAAAUAGCUGGUACAUACUCUUAGUGUAUACAGCUUCUUAGAGGGAUUUGCGGUGUUCAGCCGAAAGAAAUUGAGCAAUAACAGGUCUGUGAUGCCCUUAGAUGUCCGGGGCUGCACGCGCGCUACACUGGCAAAAUCAACGUGCUUGUCCUACCCCGAAAGGGGCGGGUAAACCAUUGAAAAUUUGCCGUGAUUGGGAUCGGAAAUUGCAAUUAUUUUCCGUGAACGAGGAAUUCCAAGUAAGUGCGAGUCAUCAGCUCGCGUUGAUUACGUCCCUGCCCUUUGUACACACCGCCCGUCGCUGCCCGGGACUGAGCCAUUUCGAGAAAUUUGGGGACCGUUGAUUUAAUUUUUCUAAAUUACUUUGAUGGAAACCAAUUUAAUCGCAGUGGCUUGAACCGGGCAAAAGUCGUAACAAGGUAGCUGUAGGUGAACCUGCUGCUG